GUCAAUAUAGUUUAAUGGUUUGAGUGUUAGACUAGGAAUCUGGGAGACCAGGGCUCAAAUCCCUGAACAGCCA